AGUUUGAGUAAACUCCGGGAGUUGAUGAUGGACAGGGAGGCCUGGCGUGCUGCAGUCCACGGGGUCACAAAGAGUCGGACAGGAUUGAGUGACUGAACUGAACUGAACUGAGUAAAGGGAAAGCAGAGCGGGCAUCCCAGGCCAGGGGAACUGCAGGGGCCGAAGCCUGAGGUGGGAGGGAACACCAGCAGGAGGUAGUUCGGGAGGGCUGCAGAGAAGAGUGGGUAUCAUGGACAUGUUGGGGGACCAGGGUGGCCAGGAAUGAGAACAAAGAGGUAGGGGUGGACUUAAUAGUUGAACUCUGGCAAUGGGAGCCCGAGAGGUUAAGCAGGCCGGAGCCUCGCCAGCUUGUGAUUAGGUUUCAUCAGUUCGUCCUGUGGUUCCACUCAGCAGCUUAUCCAGCUGGGACCUUUUUCUUGCCUCCUCUGCCUCAGUGAGCUCCUCCUCAUCCCCGGGCAGAGAAACCAGCCCUCCUUGGCUCCUGAAAGCUGACUGCAUCGCCCCCAAGGUCCUGGAUAGCUGAACACAGGGAGGAGCAUGAAACAGGCCGCUUACUGGAAUGAAUAGUACGACCCGGAAACCUCCCUCCACGUCUUCCUGUCUCACCAGGAGAAUUCUGUUCGGGUGAUAGAUAAUUGGAAUGGAUUUGGCCAGCCGGCCUGCAUAGAAAUGAUGAUGCUAUGUUUGUUCAUCUGUCAGGAGAGUAAAGAGCAAAGCUGGUAA